UACACACCGCCCGCCACAUCACGAAAGCCAGUUGUACUAGAAGCCGGUAGUUAACCUUAACCGACGAAGGAAUAGCCGUCCAAGGUAUGACUGGUGAUUGGGGUG
rnacentral:rRNA from 1 species